GCCGGGGUGGCGAAACUGGUAGACGCAUCAGACUCAAAAUCUGACGGUGGCAACACCGUGCCGGUUCGAGUCCGGCCCCCGGUACCA
rnacentral:tRNA from 1 species